UACGUAGGGUGCAAGCGUUGUCCGGAAUUAUUGGGCGUAAAGAGCUCGUAGGCGGUUUGUUGCGUCGGCUGUGAAAUCCCGAGGCUCAACCUCGGGUCUGCAGUCGAUACGAGCAAACUAGAGUGUUGCAGGGGGAGACUGGAAUUCCUGGUGUAGCGGUGAAAAUGCGCAGAUAUCAGGAGGAACACCGGUGGCGAAGGCGGGGUCUCUGGGGCAACAACUGACGCUGAGGAGCGAAAAGCCGUGGGGGAGCGAACAGG
rnacentral:rRNA from 1 species